GUGGGGCGGCCGGGCGCUCGCACAGCGAGGAGAGGAUCGCCGAGCCGAGCCGGGACGCCGGAGCUGGACGGGGCCGGCGGAGAAGGAAGGGAAGGAGGGAAAGGGAAAGGGCUUAGCUGCGGUUCCUGCACUGCACUGCAGGGAUGGGGUUGGGCUGGAUGACCUCUGGGGGUCCCUUCCGACUCUGGAACCCGGGGAGGAUCGGGAGAGGCAAAAGGUUUAGCUGCGGUUCCUGCAUUGCAGGGGGUUGGGGGUCAGACUGGAUGACCCCGGGGGAUCCCUUCCAACUCUGGGACCCGGGGAGGAUUGGAAGGGAGAGGCAAAAGGUUUGGCUGCGGUUCCUGCACUGCAGGGGUGGGGUUAAACUGGAUGACCUCUGGGGGUCCCUUCCAACUCCUGAACCCGGAGAGGAUCGGAAGGGAAAGGCAAAAGGUUUAGCUGCGGUUCCUGCACUGCAGGGGUGGGGUUGAACUGGAUGACCUCUGGGGGUCCCUUCCAACUCCUGAACCCGGAGAGGAUCGGAAGGGAGAGGCAAAAGGUUUAGCUGCGGUUCCUGCACUGCAGGGGUGGGGUUGGACUGGAUGACUUUUGGGGGUCCCUUCCGACUCUGGAACCCGGAAGGGAGAGGCAAAAGGUUUAGCUGCGGUUCCUGCACUGCAGGGGGUUGGGGGAGGUGGGGGUCAGACUGGAUGACCCCGGGGAAUCCCUUCCAAAUCAACCGUUCUAUGAAAGCCCCCGAGGCCUGGCCGGAACAUCUGCUGCGCUACCGUAGCCCGCCUGCUCGCACCGGCUUUCUACUCAUUCCUUUUCCUUUCCUGGGACACCCUGGGACUCUGCCUGCCUUCCGCUGGUCCUCGGUCCUUUCGGGGUUUCUCCCACCUCCCAACCCCAGAAGACCCCUUUGCGCAUCGCUUCCUGCCUGCGCUGGGUCUCCCGCGCCUCCUGCUCCAAAUCCAGUCCCCGCCCGCCCUCACAAAAACUGAGCCCCUCCUGACAUGGACGGCACCAUAGGUGGGGGGCAGACGAUCUUCUCCCCAAGCAAGGACCUCGCCCACCCCCAUUCCUCUUCCAUUCCUGGAGCCCAGUCAUUAACCCACACUGCUCUUUCAGAGAGCUUAACAUGGAUGCAACUGGAAUGAUGCUUUGCUGCUUCUUGUGCCCCCAGCCAUACUCUGCUUAUCAGUCUUUCCUCCCCCCUCCACUGCUUCUCUCCUCCUGCUGUCCCCCCCCCCCCCACAUCUGCAGCCUCCUGCCUACCAUCGCUUCUGCCUCUUCCAAUCCCAACUAUGAUGGAUGAUCUUUUUGGCCACCCUGGGGGGUGCUUCCUUGCCCACUAGGCCUGCCAGGUAUGUAACUGGGCUUACCAGAGUAGUGCAUGCUCUAGUUAUCUCUCGCUUGGACUACUGCCAUGCGUUCUACGUGGGGCUACCUUUGAAGGUGACACGGAAAUUACAACUAAUCCAGAAUGCGGCAGCUAGACUGGUAACUGGGAGCAGCCACUGAGACCACAUAACACCGGUCUUGAAAGAUCUACAUUGGCUCCCAGUACAUUUCUGAGCACAAUUCAAAGUGUUGCUGCUGACCUUUAAAGCCGUAAAUGGCCUCGGUCCAGUAUACCUGAAGGAGCGUCUCCACCUCCAUCGUCCAGCCCGCACACUGAGGUCCAGCUCCGAGGGCCUUCUGGUGGUUCCCUCCCUGCGAGAAGCCAAGUUACAGGGAACCAGGCAGAGGGCCUUCUCGGUGGUGGCGCCCGCCCUGUGGAACGCCCUCCCACCACAUUUCAAAGAGAACAACAACUACCAGACUUUUAGAAGACAUCCGAAGGCAGCCCUGUUUAGGGAAGCUUUUAAUGUUUAACAGACCACUGUAUUUUAAUACUUUGUUGAAAGCUGCCGAGGGUGGCUGGGGAGACCCAGCCAGAUGGGUGGGGUAUAAAUAAAAUUAUUAUUAUUAUUAUUAUUAUUAUUAUUAUUAUUAUUGCAGGACCCACCAGCCAACUUGGGCACUCGUCUGGGGAGGUGAGAGCAGCACUUGGAGGGGCUACAGGGCCCUCUCUAUCCCUGGUCCAGAGAUCUCUUCUGCAUGGGAGAUUCCUCUCUCUCUUCCGGCCCCCCUCCACCGCCACCCACCUGUUUCCCCCUCCUAUCAACCAUUCUGGCUGCCCUAGGGUCUCGAGACCCCACCCCUCUGAUGCACGCCGCAUCAUAUAGGCCCGAACUAGAAGAAGGCGAUGGUAUGGGGAGGGAGUUGGUGUGGGUUUGUUUUGGGGGGGGGGUUUCUGGUGGGAGGGUUGUGGACUAGCUGGCCCCUUGCUAUGACCCAGAAAAGGCUGUUGUUGUUUAAUCGUUUAGUCGUGUCCGCCUCUUCGUGACCCCCUGGACCAGAGCACGCCAGGCACUCCUGUCUUCCACUGCCUCCCGCAGUUGGUCAAACUCAUGUUCGUAGCUUCGAGAACACUGUCCCACCAUCUCGUCCUCUGUCGUCCCCUUCUCCUUGUGCCCUCCAUCUUUCCCAACAUCAGGGUCUUUUCCAGGGAGUCUUCUCUUCUCCUGAGGUGGCCAAAGUAAUGGAGCCUCAGCUUCAGGACCUGUCCUUCCAGUGAGCACUCAGGGCUGAUUUCCUUCAGAAUGGAUGCAUUUGAUCUUCUUGCAGUCCAUGGGACUCUCAAGAGUCUCCUCCAGCACCAGAAGUCACAAGCAUCCAUUCGUCGGUGUUCAGCCGUCUUGAUGGUCCAGCUCUCACUUCCAUACAUCACUACUGGGAAAACCAGAGCUUGAACUAUACGGACCUUUGUUGGCAAGGUGAUGUCUCUGCUUUUUAAGAUGCUGUCUAGGCUAGCUCCUGAAUGGAAACAUUCAUGGAGUUGUUGUUGUUGUUGUUGUUGUUGGCAUCUGUCUGUCUAGAGAGGGAAUGAAGUGACCUGAGAGUAAUUAAUCCACUGGAGAAUCACAGUGUCUGCUGUGGCAGCAAACAUUGGUAACUUGCAACUUGCUGUCUCCCGCAUUGUUUUUGCAAAACCAAAAUGACCUUCUGGGGAGCAAACCUGGGCAAUGUGCAUGGAGGUCCUGGGCUGCCCAGAUGACAACCUCACUGAUGCGGUCCAAAUAAAAGCAGAGCAAGACAUUUGGCACCAGUUUGGCUGCAGGAGUUCCUGGGAGGAGGCAUAAACAGCACCGUCCGACGGCCUUAGCGACUCGGUUCAAGAUUUGUGUAGGCUUUACACCUUAGGCCGUUUUUGGAGGUUGAGGAGACACCGUAGCAAAACGAGCAUCCACGUUCAGGGGCAGUAUAUCUCCAAAUGCCAGCUGCUGGGGGAGACUGCCAAGGAGAGCCCCCAGCUCUCCUUGGCAGAGGGUCUCUGCCAUGGGAGCAUAUUCACCCAGUGCUUUUCCAGCUGCACUGGCUCCCGGUGGAGUACAGGGUCAGAUUUAACGGUGUGAUUUUGACCUUUAAAGCCCUUCAUGGCCUAGGACCCUCAUACCUAUGGGACCGUCUCUCCUGGUGUGCCCCACGGAGGACCUUAAGGUCCAUAAAUAGCAACACCCUAGGGGUCCCGGGCCCUAAGGAAGUCAGAUUAGCAUCAACCAGAGCCAGGGCCUUCUCAACGCUGGCCCCGGUCUGGUGGAAUGCUCUGUCUCAUGAGACCAGGGCCCUGCGGGAUCUGAUUUCUUUCUGCAGGGCCUGUAAGACAGAGUUGUUCCACCUGGCCUUUGGCUUAGAAUCAGUUUGAUUCCCUCCCCCUCUUUCUUUUUCCUUUCUCCUCCUGUGAAGAGGCUGCAUCCGAAUGUUUUAAUGUUGUAUUUUAAUCUUGUUUUUUUAAAUUGUAUUUAAAUCAACUUGUUUUUAUUAUUGGUUGUUAGCUGCCCUGAGCCUGGUCUUGGCUGGGGAGGGCAGGGUAUAAAUAAAAUUUAUUAUUAUUAUUAUUAUUAUUAUUAUUAACACGUACGCUGCUUCUUCCAGACAUCCCAUCCUCAGUCCUUCCCCCCAGUCUCCACAGCAGCCAGAUUCGGCUCCAGGAACUCCAAGCCGUCCUCACGGGUCUCUUAUUGCUGGUAGGAUUAUUAUUUCCACAGGGCGUGCCAAUUCCUCCCUGCCCCACCACAAACACCCACCCCCUCUCCCCUCUGCCAAACCUUUUCCUUCCAGCUCACAUGACCAGCCGCAGUCCAGAGGGACAUGCGUGUUUUGUCAGCUGAGGAAGGAAGGAAGGGAACCCGAGACACAGUGUGCUGCCAACGGAGCUGGUGGUCGAAAUUUUGCACAUUUCUCUCUCCGGCAGCCCUGCUGGAGUGCAAGAGAGAGGGAAGAACCGUGCACACAAAGCUCUAGGCCAGGGGUAGCCAACGUGGUGCCCUCACGAUGCUGCAGACUCAGCCUGCAUGGCCUAAAUCCAGAGGUUAUGGUGACAGCAGUCACGAAAUUAAAAGACGCCUGCUUCUUGGGAGAAAAGCAAUGGCAAACCUAGACAGCAUCUUAAAA